CGGAAACCCAGAGGUAUUGACGGCACUACUGGUAGGAAUUCGUCUGUCACCCGGGAGGAUUAGUGACGGUACCUCCGGUGAAGAAACCCGCAGGCUAACUCCGUGCCAGCAGCCACCGGUAAUACGGAGGGGACUAGCGUUGUUCGGAAUUACUGGGCGUAAAGCGCGCGUAGGCGGAUAUUAAAGUCGGGGGUGAAAUCCCGGGGCUCAACCCCGGAACUGCCUUUGAUACUGCGUGUCUUGAGUUCGAGAGAGGUGAGUGGAAUUCCGAGUGUAGAGGUGAAAUUCGUAGAUAUUCGGAGGAACACCAGUGGCGAAGGCGGCUCACUGGCUCGAUACUGACGCUGAGGUGCGAAAGCUGUGGGGAGCAAACAGGAUUAGAUACCCUGGUAGUCCACACCGUAAACGAUGAAUGCCAGACGUCGGGCAGUAUGCUGUUCGGUGACACACCUAACGGAUUAAGCUUUCCGCCUGGGGAGUACGGUCGCAAGAUUAAAACUCAAAGGAAUUGACGGA
rnacentral:rRNA from 1 species